AGCCCCUCUUAUUGAAGAGGAUGUCAUUUCCCCCAUAAAUACUCUUGGAAGCUUUGUUGAAAAUCAGUUGGCUGUAAAUAUGUAGAGUUAUUUUCUGGCUUCUGUAUUUUGUUCCUUUGGCCUACAUGUCUGUUUUUAUUCCAAUACCAUGCUGUUUUGGUUACUAUAGCCUUGUGACAAAUAUGUUUUGAAAUCAGGUAGAGUGAUGCCUCCAGCUUUGUUCUUUUUGCUCAGGAUUGGCUAUUAAUGAUCUUCUUUGGUUCCAUACAAAUUUUAGGAUUGUGUUUUCUUUUUCUGUGAAAAACGACAUUGAUGUUUUGAUAGGGAUUGCAUUGAAUCUGUAGAUUGCUUUGGGCAGUACGGUCAUUGUAACUAUAUUAAUUAUUUCAAUCCAUGAGCACGGGAUGUUUUUCCAUUUGUUUGUAUCCUCUUCAAUUUCUUUCAUCUGUGUUUUGUAGUUUUCAUGUAGAGAUCUUUUAUCUCCCAACAUUCUAUUUCAAUUAAACUUUUCAACAAUGUAGACUAAUGGAAAGAACAGAGCUAUAAUAAUCUUGGGUAAGUCCUAGCUUCUCUGGGCCUCAUCUUCAACAUCUGUCAAAUGGGGCAAAUAUUACUUCUCUUGCAGGAUUGUUGUGAGAAUAAAUACAAUGAUAUAUGAACUGUGUCUUACUUACUUACUGUGUUUUUCACAUGUUUGUGAUUAUGGAAAGUCUACUUGCCCUGCACCAGUUGGGAG
rnacentral:lncRNA from 1 species